CGUUUAUUYGAUAGUACCUAACUUACUUGGAUAACCGUGGUAAUUCUAGAGCUAAUACAUGCUAAAAACCUCGACUUCGGAAGGGGUGUAUUUAUUAGAUAAAAAACCGAUGCCCUCCGGGGCUCCUUGGUGAUUCAUAAUAACUCAACGAACCGCAUGGCCUUGCGCCGGCGGUGGUUCAUUCAAAUUUCUGCCCUAUCAACUUUCGAUGGUAGGAUAGUGGCCUACCAUGGUAUCAACGGGUAACGGGGAAUUAGGGUUCUAUUCCGGAGAGGGAGCCUGAGAAACGGCUACCACAUCCAAGGAAGGCAGCAGGCGCGCAAAUUACCCAAUCCCGACGCGGGGAGGUAGUGACAAUAAAUACUGAUACAGGGCUCUUUUGGGUCUUGUAAUUGGAAUGAGUACAAUUUAAAUCCCUUAACGAGGAACAAUUGGAGGGCAAGUCUGGUGCCAGCAGCCGCGGUAAUUCCAGCUCCAAUAGCGUAUAUUAAAGUUGUUGCAGUUAAAAAGCUCGUAGUUGAACCUUGGGCCUGGCUGUCCGGUCCGCCUCACCGCGUGCACUGGCUCGGCCGGGCCUUUCCUUCUGGGGAGCCGCAUGCCCUUCACUGGGUGUGCCGGGGAACCAGGACUUUUACUUUGAAAAAAUUAGAGUGUUCAAAGCAGGCCUAUGCUCGAAUACAUUAGCAUGGAAUAAUAGAAUAGGACGUGUGGUUCUAUUUUGUUGGUUUCUAGGACCGCCGUAAU
rnacentral:rRNA from 1 species